AGAGUUUGAUCAUGGCUCAGAUUGAACGCUGGCGGCAGGCUUAACACAUGCAAGUCGAACGGUAACAGGAAGGAAGCUUGCUUUCUUUGCUGACGAGUGGCGGACGGGUGAGUAAUGCUUGGGAAUCUGGCUUAUGGAGGGGGAUAACUACGGGAAACUGUAGCUAAUACCGCGUAAUAUCUUCGGAUUAAAGGGUGGGACCGUAAGGCCACCUGCCAUAAGAUGAGCCCAAGUGGGAUUAGGUAGUUGGUGGGGUAAAGGCCUACCAAGCCGACGAUCUCUAGCUGGUCUGAGAGGAUGACCAGCCACACUGGAACUGAGACACGGUCCAGACUCCUACGGGAGGCAGCAGUGGGGAAUAUUGCACAAUGGGGGGAACCCUGAUGCAGCCAUGCCGCGUGAAUGAAGAAGGCCUUCGGGUUGUAAAGUUCUUUCGGUGAUGAGGAAGGCAGGUAAGUUAAUAGCUUACUUGAUUGACGUUAGUCACAGAAGAAGCACCGGCUAACUCCGUGCCAGCAGCCGCGGUAAUACGGAGGGUGCGAGCGUUAAUCGGAAUGACUGGGCGUAAAGGGCACGCAGGCGGUGACUUAAGUGAGAUGUGAAAGCCCCGGGCUUAACCUGGGAAUUGCAUUUCAUACUGGGUCGCUAGAGUAUUUUAGGGAGGGGUAGAAUUCCACGUGUAGCGGUGAAAUGCGUAGAGAUGUGGAGGAAUACCGAAGGCGAAGGCAGCCCCUUGGGAAUAUACUGACGCUCAUGUGCGAAAGCGUGGGGAGCAAACAGGAUUAGAUACCCUGGUAGUCCACGCUGUAAACGCUGUCGAUUUGGGGAUUGGGCUUUGAGCUUGGUGCCCGUAGCU
rnacentral:rRNA from 1 species